UGGGGGGUGGUGUAACUGGUAGCACUAGGGCUUUUGGUGCCUUCAGUACGGGUUCGAGUCCUGUCCCCCCAGCCA
rnacentral:tRNA from 1 species